rnacentral:lncRNA from 13 species
GUGAUAUCCAAUAGGACUUCAUAUCUCUCUCUCUGUCCAGUGGGGUAUAGGCCCUGUGAUAUCCAAUAGGACUUCAUAUCUCUCUCUCUGUCCAGUGGGGUAUAGGCCUGUGAUAUCCAAUAGGAUUUCAUCUCUCUCUCUCUCUCUCUGUCCAGUCAGGUAUAGGCCCUGUGAUAUCCAAUAGGACUUCAUAUCUCUCUCUCUCUCUCUCUCUCUGUCCAGUCAGGUAUAGGCCCUGUGAUAUCCAAUAGGAUUUCAUAUAUAUAUAUAUAUAUAU